UUUGUAACGGUUAGCAAUACUAAGUGAAAAGCUUGUAUUCAGCAUUGCAGUAACAGUAUAGUCGAUCUUCAGUACAAGUUCAGUUUACUUACUAAGAUACUGCAAUAAGUUUUGACCAUCUGUGUUAAAGUAGACGUGUGUCCAUUCUAAUUGAAGAACAAAUUAUUUUCCAAUUUUAAGUCAGCCAACCAUGAAGUGGCGAACGACCAUCCUUAUCAUUGCAGUGCUUCUUGUGAGCAAAUGUCAUGGAAUUGCUCUGGAUUGUGUAUUUAGAUCGCAUAGUUUUUCAGUGAUUGGCAGUCGUUACGCGUGUGAUGCGAGAGUAUUAUUUGAUGCAAAUGAGAAUGUAACAAUAGUGUAUGGACUUCACGAAGCUGGAAAAGGACAUGAAGAUGUGCACGGGAUAGUGAUACAGUCACAGAGUUUAGAAUUUGUCCCAACAAACAUCGAAAGUUUCUUUCCAAAUGUCAUUGCCAUCAGUUUAGGGGACAAUUAUAUAACCAGCAUCCAGAACAGACAUUUGGCCCCAUUUCCAAAUUUAGAAUAUCUAUGGCUAGA